AGUGAACGCUGGCGGUAGGCCUAACACAUGCAAGUCGAACGGCAGCACAGUAAGAGCUUGCUCUUACGGGUGGCGAGUGGCGGACGGGUGAGGAAUACAUCGGAACCUACUUUUUCGUGGGGGAUAACGUAGGGAAACUUACGCUAAUACCGCAUACGACCUACGGGUGAAAGCAGGGGAUCUUCGGACCUUGCGCGAUUGAAUGAGCCGAUGUCGGAUUAGCUAGUUGGCGGGGUAAAGGCCCACCAAGGCGACGAUCCGUAGCUGGUCUGAGAGGAUGAUCAGCCACACUGGAACUGAGACACGGUCCAGACUCCUACGGGAGGCAGCAGUGGGGAAUAUUGGACAAUGGGCGCAAGCCUGAUCCAGCCAUACCGCGUGGGUGAAGAAGGCCUUCGGGUUGUAAAGCCCUUUUGUUGGGAAAGAAAAGCAGCAGGUUAAUACCCCGCUGUUCUGACGGAACCCAAAGAAUAAGCACCGGCUAACUUCGUG
rnacentral:rRNA from 1 species